UACGGGGGGGGCAAGCGUUGUUCGGAAUUACUGGGCGUAAAGGGCUCGUAGGCGGCCAACUAAGUCAGACGUGAAAUCCCUAGGCUCAACCUAGGAACUGCGUCUGAUACUGCAGGGCUAGAGUCCGGAAGAGGCGAGUGGAAUUCCUGGUGUAGCGGUGAAAUGCGCAGAUAUCAGGAGGAACACCGAUGGCGAAGGCAGCUCGCUGGGACGGUACUGACGCUGAGGCGCGAAAGCGUGGGGAGCAAACAGG
rnacentral:rRNA from 1 species